rnacentral:rRNA from 1 species
AGUGAACGCUGGCGGUAGGCCUAACACAUGCAAGUCGAACGGCAGCACAGUAAGAGCUUGCUCUUACGGGUGGCGAGUGGCGGACGGGUGAGGAAUACAUCGGAAUCUACUUUUUCGUGGGGGAUAACGUAGGGAAACUUACGCUAAUACCGCAUACGACCUACGGGUGAAAGCAGGGGGUCUUCGGACCUUGCGCGAUUGAAUGAGCCGAUGUCGGAUUAGCUUGUUGGCGGGGUAAAGGCCCACCAAGGCGACGAUCCGUAGCUGGUCUGAGAGGAUGAUCAGCCACACUGGAACUGAGACACGGUCCAGACUCCUACGGGAGGCAGCAGUGGGGAAUAUUGGACAAUGGGCGCAAGCCUGAUCCAGCCAUACCGCGUGGGUGAAGAAGGCCUUCGGGUUGUAAAGCCCUUUUGUUGGGAAAGAAAAGCAGCAGGUUAAUACCCCGCUGUUCUGACGGUACCCAAAGAAUAAGCACCGGCUAACUUCGUG